rnacentral:other from 1 species
AGUUGUCAGAGUAGGGUACAGAGGUAAGAUGUUCUAUCUUUCAGACCUUUUACUUCACGUAAUCGGAUUUGGCUGAUUAUUAGCCGCCCCGGUCUUUAUGACUGGGGCGUUUUUUU